AGCGAACGCUGGCGGCAGGCUUAACACAUGCAAGUCGAGCGGGCACUUUCGGGUGUCCGCGGCGGACGGGUGAGUAACGCGUGGGAACGUGCCCUCUGGUUCGGAAUAACUCAGGGAAACUUGAGCUAAUACCGGAUACGCCCUUUUGGGGUAAGGCUUGCUGCCGGAGGAUCGGCCCGCGUCUGAUUAGCUAGUUGGUGAGGUAACGGCUCACCAAGGCGACGAUCAGUAGCUGGUCUGAGAGGAUGAUCAGCCACACUGGGACUGAGACACGGCCCAGAAUCCUACGGGAGGCAGCAGUGGGGAAUAUUGGACAAUGGGGGCAAGCCUGAUCCAGCCAUGCCGCGUGAGUGAUGAAGGCCUUAGGGUUGUAAAGCUCUUUUAUCCGGGACGAUAAUGACGGUACCGGAGGAAUAAGCCCCGGCUAACUUCGUG
rnacentral:rRNA from 1 species